rnacentral:rRNA from 1 species
UACGUAGGGGGCAAGCGUUGUCCGGAUUUACUGGGCGUAAAGCGCGUGUAGGCGGAAGCGAAAGUCCGGUGUGAAAGCCCCCGGCUCAACCGGGGAAGGUCGCUGGAAACUGCGCUUCUUGAGGGCGGCAGAGGGAAGUGGAAUUGCUGGUGUAGCGGUGAAAUGCGUAGAGAUCAGCAGGAACACCCGUGGCGAAGGCGGCUUCCUGGGCCGCGCCUGACGCUGAGACGCGAAAGCGUGGGGAGCAAACAGG